rnacentral:rRNA from 1 species
AGCGAACGCUGGCGGCAGGCUUAACACAUGCAAGUCGAACGGGCAUCUUCGGAUGUCAGUGGCAGACGGGUGAGUGACACGUGGGAACGUACCCUUCGGUUCGGAAUAACUCAGGGAAACUUGAGCUAAUACCGGAUACGCCCUUUUGGGGAAAGGUUUACUGCCGAAGGAUCGGCCCGCGUCUGAUUAGCUUGUUGGUGGGGUAACGGCCUACCAAGGCGACGAUCAGUAGCUGGUCUGAGAGGAUGAUCAGCCACACUGGGACUGAGACACGGCCCAGACUCCUACGGGAGGCAGCAGUGGGGAAUAUUGGACAAUGGGCGCAAGCCUGAUCCAGCCAUGCCGCGUGAGUGAUGAAGGCCUUAGGGUUGUAAAGCUCUUUUGUCCGGGACGAUAAUGACGGUACCGGAAGAAUAAGCCCCGGCUAACUUCGUG